CCCGUGUAAACAAGUCAUUAUUCAGCUACCAUGCAGCUUCACAUUUCAGCUACUCACAAAUGGCAGUUCUAUUUUACCAUACAGAAAAUCAAUCUUUAUGUCAUAUUAGUUGUGUUAAAUGCGAAAAGAUAUUUAUAUUUGUGUUGUGUUCCAAAUUAAAAUAAAAGAAAAACGCGUUUUAAAUGAAUAUAUUUCACUGUCACGAGCGUGCGUACAUUGCUGUACAGUAGUGAAGUGAACAGAGAGCUCAGCUGACGACUUGGCAGGGCUGAACAAAAACAGUAACAAGCGCGAGGGAGGGGAGGAGGCGCGUACACACUCACACACGCGCCCUCGUGUUGAAUUCGUACACCAUUUUGGUUGUGUGAAGAAAAGGAAGAGGAGGAACAUAGAGACUCCUGAAUCCCCUGCCACUCCCGACGUGUAGAGGCAACUUUAGUAAACUGCACACGCUCCGAAGGAACAAAAUGGGAGCGGGCGAGGAGAACCCGGAACCAUCUAAGGUCAAGCCAUGAUACUACUUCAAUCUGCUUGACCAAGAAGCUUGUAUGUCUUGGAUCAUGGGAUUGGAUUUCUUUCUCUACAAUUCAGCCUUUCCAUCAGUUGGGUAGAGGUUAAUCUUGGUUCCAAAGUCCAGUCUGGCUUUUCAUCUUGUACUUACUAUGAGUGCAUUGCAUCUUAUGUUCUCACAGUUACUGUCUUCAGCUGCUGUUUUUAUUGACUGACCAGUCUAGUACGCCAGAUAUUUUUUUUUCAUGGACAUUGUUGUGUUAUUGGCUAUGCUCAAUGCUUAUGCAAUGGCUUUUAUCAGUUUUCCCUACAUCAGUAUGGCUUGCUGUUCACUCACUUUUCAAGCUUAUUUGUCUUUUUUAUUUUUUAAGAACAAAUGCUGCCUGUACAUGUAACAAGAAACAUCUGUCAUCCAGAUGUUCAUGAGGAGUUCAUAGGCAUAUAGAGUGUUUUGGUGGACCACCCCCCCAUGCCUUCACUUAGAUUUGUUGACAGUGGAGUGGUCCCAGGAAGCCUUCAUGUCUGUGUGACCGUCUGGCUCAUCCUUUUAGUUAUACUGUCAUAGAUAGUCUUGGUGGACUCCCUGCUUGCACUCAGUCACCCCACAUUGCUGAUCCUGAGAUACCAGUGUUCCUGACCCCUGUUUUCUGUACCUGCCUGAUCCAUUCUUAUGAUCUGCUUCUAGUUUGAGUCUCAUCACUUGGAGGCUGCUCACUAGUGCUAAUGAUGGCCCCACACGGACAGGCUGGAGAUACAUGGGAUUACUGUAGAUAGUUUCACUUAGAAACCAUAGCUUUGGCAUUUUGCUUGAUCAUUAGACAUACAUUUCAAAAUUGAUCAUUUAUAUUUCUUUAAAGGAGCUUUGUGACAUUGUCCAUUGUUAAAAGCAGUAUACAAAUAAAAUGUGCCAAUAUUUUUGAUCACUUUAAUAAUAGGGGGUUCAUACAAAAGGUGCCAGGUUCAAAGUUAUUUAACUCAUCUAAAUAUCAUGUAAAUAUCAGGAAGUAAACAUUGAAGUUCUGUUUUAUCAUCUCAUAUUUAUUUUUUGAUCAGUGUAUAGCAAAAACAAUUCCAAUGCUUUGAGAUGGUAGUCAGUUCAUAUGCACAUUUAAUAAAUAUAAUUCUUUAAUUUUCUGUGUUGUAUAAUUCUUUUGUUGUUAUUAUAUUCAGUUUUUAUGUUAGGUUCCACUCCUGUAGUACUCCUUUACUGUACUACUUAAAGCAACUUACAUUUAAUGAACAUCAAAAACCAUGUCAAAGCAAAUGAUAUAUGUCAAUGUACAGUAUAGCCAGACAUUUUACUAUCCUCCUAAAAUUUUACAUUUAAAUUGCUUUUCACUAGAUUUCCUUGUGUUUAUAAUUUGCAUGCUCUUCCUGCACUUCAGGGGUUUCCCCAGUCCAAAUACAUGCACUGUAGGCUGAUUGGUAUCUCUAAAUUGUCCAUAGUGUGAGAAUGGUUUGUGAGUGUGCGUGAUUGUGCCAUAUUGUGCCUCGAGUCCCCUGGAUGGAGUAUUUGUGAGAUUGAUCAGACAGGGGAAGACUUUGUGGCCACAGAAAAUAGGUAAAAUGGAUAUGAACUAUAACAUCUGCUCAUAUGGCAGCAACACAAUGCAGAAAUUCAUGUAGAUGCAUGUCAAGAGCAUGAUUCAAUGUUUUUUUCUUGCGAAGCAGCUUUACAGGAAAAAAAAAUCAGAAAAAAUUAUAAAUUUUAAAUUUAGAUUUAUCCCUAACAAGCAAGCCAGCAGUAAUGGUGGCAAGAAAAACCUGACUGAGAUGAUAUGAGGAAGAAACCAUGAGAGGAGCCACACUCAAAAGAGAACCCAUUCUCAUCCUCUGUGACACCAGAUAGUGCGAUAGUGUGUAAUAAUUUCCUUUCUGUAACUGUACACUAUAUAGUCAAAUACAAUUUUGUAUUCCAGAGCUUUUAAGCAAUUUAUGAAUAUUAGCACCAGCAUAAUUUCCAAAUUCAGUAUAGAUCUUACAUACAUUUCAUCAAAUGUUCAAUGACAGAGACCUCUGUGGCAACAGCAGUCCAAAGCCAUCUCCAUGGUCUACAAGUAGUAUUAUCCACAGCAGUUCCAUGUAUCUCUAGGUAAUCCACGUGGGGCUAUUCUCACCACUAAUGAGCAAUCUCCAAAUGAUGAGAACCACCCAGAAGUAGGGCAUCAGAAGGGAUCAGGCAGGUGAGCCAUGGUGAGCAGAAGCAGUCAGGAGCACUGGUACCUCAGGAGUAGCAUGUGUAUCUUGAAAGUGAGAGAGACACACAUACAGAGAGACAUGCUUAUGUUAGACAUAUGCAGUGUUAACAUGUCAUCGUUAAAAACAAUGUUCAGUGUGUGCAGAGUCCAAGCAGGGACUCUGACAAUACUAGCUAUAACAACAUAACUAAACGCAAGAUUCUUGACACAGACAUGAAGGCUUUCUAGGAUGUAAAGCAGCCAGCCACUGCUAUAUAUAUAUAUAUAUAUCAGGUGAAAUUUAUGGAAAAUGUAAAAAGUUCAUCCUACAGUGAUGUUAUAUAAUGAUAUGGCAUUUAAGUAGAAGUAUGCAAUGGUGAUUUCCUCAUCUCAAACAAUUUAUUGAAACAAAAGACAACAACAGUGGUGGGUAUACCACAACAAAAAAUGUCAAUGUCUCAAUAAUUUGUCAUGUGCCCUUCACC